rnacentral:rRNA from 1 species
CACGUAGGGUGCAAGCGUUGUCCGGAAUUAUUGGGCGUAAAGGGCUCGUAGGCGGUCCGUCACGUCGGGAGUGAAAACUCGGGGCUCAACCCUGGGCGUGCAUCCGAUACUGCCGGGCUUGAGGCAGGUAGGGGAGAUCGGAAUUCCUGGUGUAGCGGUGAAAUGCGCAGAUAUCAGGAAGAACACCGGUGGCGAAAGCGUUCUGCUAGACCUGUACUGACACUGAGGGACGAAAGCUAGGGGAGCGAAUGGG